rnacentral:tRNA from 1 species
AAAGUAAAAAGUAUUUGAUUUCGAAUCAAAGAAUGGUUUUAGCCUUACUUUGC